UAAAUAUCUAGAACGAGAAAGUUAACAUUAAUAGAAAAGUACUUAUAAUAUUUAAAACAAAACCUGAAAUUAUGAAAAUACAGUGAUAACAUCUAAUGCCAACAAGAUACAACGUAAUAAACUUGUAUCUCCACUGUAAACAAGUGGUAAUAGUGAUGGAGCAGUCGCAGGCUGAUAGCGGGCCGAUGGUGUCGGUGGCGAAGGAGUGCGUCCGUCAGCGGAGCCCUACGCACGGAGCCACGCGCCGUCAUCAGGGCGCUUAUCAAUAACUUGCCGAUUGGUCGAGUGAAGUGUUUGCGAUGCCGAUACGACUAGCGGGAACCAAUCGAUUUCCCGUUCCAUCAAAUCUUAUCUUAAUCAUGGUGGACAUUCAUACAGUUUGUCAGUGCCCUGAUAUCCUAUCUGAAGAUAUGAUAUAGUGUAUAAAUAUGGGCCCAUCGAUCGAUCAGGUCUCUAUCGAAGUUUGAACUCUGAUUAACAUUUACUGUCGAAGCUAAAUCAGUGAACCCUGCGGAGUCUUGGACCAGGUGAUGCGCUUAGAAGACUUCGUCCGGAUUCACGUCUGAGUUGGACAGGGGAUCUUGACAGUUUCACGUGAUAUGCUGCCAGAUCUAUCUUUCCAGCUCACACGUGGAACCUCCUUCGACAAACGCCCUCCGAAGAAAAGUCAUGCUUGGAAGAUAAAACUGGCGUUAAGGAUUAAGUGGAGGUGUGAUCUCUUCACUUUUUUUGUUUAAAGUGAGAUUCAACUCCUCCAACUUAACCCUGAAUCGCAAUGGUCGUCAACAUUCCACCAAGAUAUAGUUUUUAUUGUAUUGCUCACCACCUACAAUGUAUAUUACUUAUUCGUUCUUUAAUAUAAUUUUACAUGUUCCUAAUUUUAAUAAAUAUGUUUUAUUGUGUUUC